rnacentral:misc_RNA from 1 species
AUGCAAAAUCGUAUAAAGCUAAAUGAGACAGAAGAGAAGAUCUUGAACUACGUGAAUGAAGUAUGUUAGCCCUUUUUAAUUCACAUUUCUGUGGAGGAAAGUGGCCUUGCAUUAGCUAAUGGCCUCGCUUGCAAUUUCAGCUCUGUGAUCGAUUACCUAGUCCAAAUGGAGAAUCAACAGUUGAUUGUAGCAGUCUAUCUUCAAUGCCUCAUAUCUCAUUCAUAAUUGGUGGUAAAGUGUUUGGCCUAAGGCCAGAGCAGUAUGUGCUUAAAGUGGGAAAGGGAGUUUCAGCUCAAUGCAUUA